AAUCUGUCAGAACUUGCAUCGUCGCAAGUCAUGUCCUGUGCGUAGCAGACAUAUGAAUCUCUCCCAUAAAAAAAGGAAGAUGGGAAAAUCAUUAUUUUAGGAAAUUCGCCUUCUUCUUUCCCAUUCAUACACUGAAUCUUGUUUAUUAUACAGCAUAUGAAAGCUGUAGCCAUCUUCAUAUGUCAAAAGCCUUCUUAACAGGGCAAUGGACGUGGACAUAUGGUUAGCUUAUAAACUUGCCGAUCUCCCUGUCAUUUCUUCCAACUCACUUUCAAAACUUUGGGUUCUUUUCCUUUUACUUAUUACUUCCUUUUUCCUCUUCCCCCGCUGUGGAACAGAACCCGUCAAUCAAAAUUAUAAGCCGGUUAGGAACAUAUUUGCUAUCAUUGAUGUCAAUUCAAGAAUCGGGAAAGAAGAGAAAACUGCCAUGGAAAUAGCUGUUCUAAACUUCAACAAUGGCUCAAAAGAUCACAAUAUAUCUCUUUACUUCGAGGACCACCGAAAAAAUCCCCUCCACGCUGCUCAAGCUGCUCAAAAUUUUAUUAAAGAGAAGGGAGUCGAAGCAAUGUUGGGUAUGGAGAGAUGGGAGGAGGCAGCAUUAGUUGCUGACAUUGGAAACCAAGCUCAAGUUCCAGUUCUUUCAUUUGCUGCACCAGCCUUAACCCCACCAUUAACAUCUACACGUUGGCCUUUCUUGGUACGAAUGGUUUAUAGUAAUUCUGAACAAAUGAGAUGCAUUGCAGAACUUACUCGUGUUUAUAGUUGGAGAAGGGUUGUAGCAGUUUAUGAAGAUAAUACUCAUGGUGGUGAUUCUGGGGGUUUGGCACUUUUAUCUCAGGCUCUACAGGAGGUUGGUUCAAAGAUCGAGCACCGCUUAGUUCUUCCACCAUUUGCUUUAAUAUCAGAUCCGAAAGAAGCUGUUAAAGAGGAACUAAUAAAGCUCCAAGAAAUCAAAUCGCGGGUUUUUAUUGUUCUUCAGACAUCAUUGCCUUGGGUGACCCAUUUGUUUAGAGAAGCUAAGAACAUGGGGCUGGUGGGGGAGGACACAAUAUGGAUCCUCACCGAUACUGUUACUAGUUUCCUGGACUCGUUUAACACCUCUGUUAUUUACUCUAUGGAAGGAGCUCUAGGAAUUAAGAGUGACUAUUCCGAUAGUAGCAAUGCCUACAAAAGUUUCCAUGCUCAGUUUCGGCAAAUUUUCAUGUCUGAGUACCCAGAAGAAGAUAACUUGGAGCCAGGAUUUCACGCUCUGAAAGCAUAUGACAGCAUUUCAGCUAUCAUAAAAGCAAUGGAGAGAAUGUCUAGGAACAGUAGUAGUAGUCCAAAGGAGUUGUUGAAUAAUAUAUUAUCAAGCAAUUUCACUGGUUUAAGUGGUCAGAUAAGUUUCUCAGCUGGGGAGUUGAUGCAUAGUCCUAAACUGAGGGUAGUGAACGUGGUUGGAAAGAAAUACAAGGAGAUAGACUUCUGGUUUCCUGGGUCUGGAUUCUUGAAAAGCACAGAAGAUGAAAAUGGAGGUGGUGCUGUGAAACUAGAAGGUCCAGUGAAUUGGCCUGGGGACCUAAAGCGGAUUCCGAAAGGCUGGGCUAUGCCUUCAAAUGCAAAGCCGAUGGUUAUUGGUGUUCCGGGGAGAACUUCGUUCCAAAAAUUUGUAAGAGUAGUGAAUGCAAGUGAUGAUGUUAACGGAUAUGAUGGUUUUUGCAUUGAACUUUUCCAAGAGGUGUUAAAGGUUUUGGAUUAUUAUCUACCUUACAGAUUUGUAGCCUUCAAUGGGACAUAUGACGAACUGGUGGAUCACGUAUAUAACAAGACCUAUGAUGCUAUCGUGGGCGACAUAACCAUACUAGCUGACAGAUUAGAAAAAGUGGAAUUCACGCAGCCAUAUGCAGAAUCAGGCUUGUCGAUGAUAGUUCCAGUCAAAUCUGAAAAAUCGGCUUGGAUAUUUCUGAAGCCGUUCAACUGGCAAAUGUGGGCGAUCACUGGCGCCACCUUGAUCUACACAAUGAUCAUAGUUUGGAUCUUGGAGCGACAACCUAAUUCUGAAUUUAGAGGUCCAUUGGUUAAUCAGAUUGGCACUACAGUAUGGUUCACUUUCUCAUCCCUCUUCUUCGUUCACAGUAAGUGAUCAAUCCUAAAAAUUCCCUGCCCUCUCCAGUGAACAUAUAUAUAUAUAUGUUCAGUAUAAAGGGAAUGAGGGGAAUGAGAGAUAAAAAUAGAGAAAAUUAAUGAUCUUUGACUUAAAAUGAGGGUUUUUUUUUUAAGCCUUACUUAAAAUGAGGUUAGGUAUUUAUAUAUAAAAGAUUAUUUACGCUUACUAAUUAUAAUUAAUUUACAAGUAAAUAUUAAAACGCUUCUUUUUUAUCCUUUAUCUUAACAAAUUUUCAAUCCUUUUAUGUGAAUAAAUCUCUAGUACUUAAAAAGAGAAGGUUGUCAAGUAGGUAUUGGAGCAUUCUCGAUGGAACUUUAUUGGGUGUUUUCAGAUAAUUAAAUUGUAGUGUUCUUUAUACUAAGUUAAAUUUGGGUUUCUCCAUAAAUUAUGAGAAGUGAAUUCCACAUUUAUGUGAGUAAAGAAGUGUAAUACAAUUUUUCAUUCUCAAAAUGUAAAUUGAUACAAACAAAUUGAUCCUUGUUUUAAAAAAAUAAGAAAGAAUUAAUGUAGUGAAAUAUAAGAUUAAGUUACUGGACUGAUAUUAUAAUUUUAUCUGCUAUAUAUGCAGGAGAGAGAAUUAACAGUAAUUUCACUCGGGUGGUGGUGGUAGUGUGGCUAUUUGUUGUGUUCAUCUUAACUUCAUGCUACACUGCUAGUCUGACUUCAAUGCUUACCAUCCAACGGCUACGGCCAAAUGUUACUGAUAUUGAUUGGUUAAGAAGUAAAAACUUACCAAUCGGUUGUGAUGAAGAUUCAUUUGUAAGGGAUUAUUUGAAGAAAGUAUUGAAGUUCAAUAAUAUCAAGAAUGUUACUAGCGAAUACGAUUACCCCAGUAAAUUCCAGGGUAGACAAAUAUAUGCUGCCUUUCUUGAACUCCCAUAUCAAAAAGUCUUCCUCAGCCAUUACUGCAAGCAAUAUGCGUCAAACACACCCACCUGUAGAUUUGGAGGAUUAGGCUUCGCAUUUCAAAAUGGCUCUCCAAUGGUAGCUGAUUUUUCCAAAGCUAUAUUAAAGCUAUCGGAGAAUGGAAGGGUGGUAGAAUUGGAAAAAAAUUGGUUCCCUUCCACGCGAGAGUGUUCCAGAGAUCCGACUGACAAUGAAACUGAUAGAUUGAGCCACAAAAACUUCUGGGGUCUCUUCUUUAUAUCGAGUGCAACUUCUACCAUUUGUUUCCUAAUACUUGCAAUUAAGGUGUAUUGGCUAAAUGAAGACCAAGCCAAUAGAAGUCCUAACGAGAGCAGGAUGAUUAGUAUUGCAAGGUUUAUGUAUUAUGGAAGAACUGCUUCUCCAAGUGUUCCUGCAGCCUCCUCUUCUCCUGAGAUCGAAGCUGUGAACAAUCCUAAUGCUUCUCCAAGAGAAUCUUCAGGCCUUCUGAUUAAUCGCGGCGGAGAUCAUUAAAUAUUGUAUGGACAAUAAUACACGCACGACAUUUCCUGAUUUUGAAAAUUAAGCAGCCCAUAAUUCCACAGGUUUAUUGUCUUAAUUCUUCUGUCUGGGAAUCAUACUUUAGCUAAAGUGGUUGUUUUUAUGUCUGAUAGGAAUCAGUUGUUUGUUUCAAAUUAUACUUAUGUACAUUAAAUUCUAAAUUAAUUAUUUUUAUUUAAAUUAUCCUGUCUAUGUUAACAUAAUUUAUUUGUAUUUAUAUCUACAUUAUAUAUGAAGAUAUGUUAAGA
rnacentral:misc_RNA from 1 species